GGGGGUGUAGCUCAGUUGGGAGAGCGUCUGCUUUGCACGCAGAAGGUCAGGGGUUCAACUCCCCUCACCUCCA
rnacentral:tRNA from 3 species